CCUACGGGUGACAGCAGUGGGGAAUAUUGCACAAUGGGGGAAACCCUGAUGCAGCAACGCCGCGUGGGUGAAGGAGCGUCUCGGCGCGUAAAGCCCUGUCAGCGGGGAAGAAGAAAGACGGUACCCGACCAAGAAGCCCCUGCUAACUACGUGCCAGCAGCCGCGGUAAUCCGUAGGGGGCGCGCGUUUUCCGGAAUUACUGGGGUUAAAGGGAUCGGAUACGGGGAGGUAAGGCGGAAGUGGAAGCCGGCGGCCCAACCACGGAACCGCUUUUGAAACUGGUUGGCUGGAGUAGGGGAGGGGUAGGCGGAAUGCGUGGUGUAGCGGUGAAAUGCAUAGAUAUCAGGAGGAACCCCGGUUGCGAAGGCGGCUUACUGGACCAUAACUGACGUUGAGGCUCGAAAGCGUGGGGAGCGAACAGGAUUAGAUACCCUGGUAGUC
rnacentral:rRNA from 1 species